AUCCCUGUACCGUCAUGGAUAGUGUUUUAGACUUCUAAUCCAAAGGUUGUGGGUUCGAAUCCCACCUGGGAUG